AUGCCCUUGGGGCUCUCCUCAGCUUCUCUGUCAACUCUCUUUGCCCCAAAUCCUGCAGACAUAGGAGGCUUGGUAUCCUAUAUAAACAUUCCUGCCUCCAGGAACAAGCUAGCUUCAAGCAAAAAGAAUCAAGCUCAUGAGACAUCCCUCCCCCCACACACCCUACUCCUACUCCUACCCAGCUUGGACCACAGCUCCCCACAGAGCAGCUCUGGCCUCUUGUGGGAUGCGGGUGUAUUGGUUGUUGCCAUGGUGAUAGAAGAACGUUACUGUCAUGCACAGAGGAGCAGCACAGAGUGGGUCUCCCCUGCCUGGGAAACUCAGAGGAUUCAUCAGAGGUUGUUUUCUAGUUGCUUCCUCACACCACUUCAUGGGAGCCAACAACAGGAUGGGAAUAUCAAUGACUGUCUGAAUAGGAAGCCUCAGAUGAGCCCCGCAUGGAGAGCAGAGACAGGCAAGUGGAGAGUGCUAAGGCGCAGCUGCAGGAAGGAAAAUUCUGUCUGUGCAGCCGCGGGGUAUAGAGAGCCGCCGGGACCUGGCAACAGCGCGGCUCUUGACGGAGCUCCGCCCACCUCCAGCGACUGCGGCUGCAUCCAGGCAACUGCUCCGCCUGGCCGGUGAUGAAGGCAGCUACCGAGUGGGCGGGAGGACGUGACACUCGCCCAGGUGAGGGCCUGGGCCCAAUAGCUCUACAGAGCUGGAGCUUGGACAAAAGCCUUAGACAACAUACCAGGGAGGAGAAGAUGAAGGUCUUCUUUCUCCCUGCUCCCCAAACAGUGCCCCUACCCACCACCAAAUCAUCUGAGGGCCUUUUAUAAAAUCACAUCCUAGGAUCACCGGGGUGGCUCAAUCGGUUAAGCAUCCUACUCUUGGCCUAAGUGUUACAUUUGUAAAUUUACACUUCUUAUAGUUGCUUCUACUGGCAUCCUUUCAUUUUCUGGUACUUGACUAUGAGCAUAUAAAAAUGAUUCCUUUUAAAGGAUAGAAUCAGCACUCAAAUUCAAUAACUCAAAUGAGGAAGUGAGCAAGAUCAGGAUGGAGAAAACUUACGAGAAUAGUUUGGUUGUAUGAGAUGUGUUUGGGAUUAUUUCUGCAAUUGUAAUACAAGCUCUUGUUUCAUAAUAUGGACCCUACUCUGGAAAACACUUUCAGUGUUAAAUCAACCAACCACAUCUUCCUUGAUGUGAAUAAAUAGCAGAAAGAUUCCUACUGAAAUGUUCUA
rnacentral:lncRNA from 1 species